UCGAGGAUCAUUCGCAAUGCGCGAAAGCGUGACGAUGCGACGCUGCGUGGAGGACGACGGCCUUCGGGUUGUAAACUCCUGUCAUGAGGGACAAGACGGCCUCCGUUAACACCGGGGGCCACCGAUGGUACCUCAAGAGGAAGCCACGGCUAACUCUGUGCCAGCAGCCGCGGUAAUACAGAGGUGGCGAGCGUUGUUCGGAUUUACUGGGCGUAAAGCGUGCGUAGGCGGUCUUGCGUGUCGGACGUGAAAUCCCGGGGCUCACCCCCGGAAGUGCGUACGAAACUGCAGGACUAGGGUCCGGGAGGGGGGAUCGGAAUGCAUGGUGUAGCGGUGAAAUGCGUUGAUAUCAUGCGGAACACCGGUGGCGAAGGCGGAUCCCUGGAACGGUACCGACGCUGAGGCACGAAAGCGUGGGGAGCAAACAGG
rnacentral:rRNA from 1 species